rnacentral:rRNA from 1 species
UUUAUGGAGAGUUUGAUCCUGGCUCAGGAUGAACGCUGGCGGCGUGCCUAAUACAUGCAAGUCGAGCGAACUGACGAGGAGCUUGCUCCUUUAAUGUUAGCGGCGGACGGGUGAGUAACACGUGGGUAACCUACCUAUAAGACUGGAAUAACUCCGGGAAACCGGGGCUAAUGCCGGAUAACAUAUCGAACCGCAUGGUUCGAUAGUGAAAGACGGUCUUGC